rnacentral:snRNA from 1 species
GGAUGUGAAGGCAAUCUAGCUGCAGCAUCUGUCCCCACAUUGACUGCCAGGGUUGAUUCUGCUGUUCUGACUGGUUAGGCUGGGUGUACCCUUCCUCCUUCAAUAGCUCCAUGUGUGUCCCUCCCAAAGCUGCACACCCAGUUGCAGAGGACAACUUCCCCAGUAGGUUUUUGUUGUCUGGAAAGUGGCCCAGCAGAGAAGGACCUGAGAGUGCUGUUGACAGCUGGCUUAACAUGAGCCAGGGUGUGCCCAGGUGGGCAGGAAGGUCAAAGACAUCCUGGCCUGUAUCAGACACAGCAUGGCCAGCAGAACCAGGGCAGGGACUGUCCCCCUGUACUU